rnacentral:rRNA from 1 species
ACGAACGCUGGCGGCAUGCCUAACACAUGCAAGUCGAACGAGACCUUCGGGUCUAGUGGCGCACGGGUGCGUAACGCGUGGGAACCUGCCUUUAGGUUCGGAAUAACUCAGAGAAAUUUGAGCUAAUACCGGAUGAUGUCUUCGGACCAAAGAUUUAUCGCCUUUAGAUGGGCCCGCGUUGGAUUAGCUAGUUGGUGGGGUAAAGGCCUACCAAGGCGACGAUCCAUAGCUGGUCUGAGAGGAUGAUCAGCCACACUGGGACUGAGACACGGCCCAGACUCCUACGGGAGGCAGCAGUGGGGAAUAUUGGACAAUGGGCGAAAGCCUGAUCCAGCAAUGCCGCGUGAGUGAUGAAGGCCUUAGGGUUGUAAAGCUCUUUUACCCGAGAUGAUAAUGACAGUAUCGGGAGAAUAAGCUCCGGCUAACUCCGU